rnacentral:rRNA from 1 species
UACGUAGGGUGCAAGCGUUGUCCGGAAUUAUUGGGCGUAAAGAGCGUGUAGGCGGCCCGAUUAGUCCGCUGUGAAAGUCCAGGGCUCAACCCUGGAAUGCCGGUGGAUACUGUCGGGCUAGAGUCCGGAAGGGGCGAGUGGAAUUCCUGGUGUAGCGGUGAAAUGCGCAGAUAUCAGGAGGAACACCAAUGGCGAAGGCAGCUCGCUGGGACGUGACUGACGCUGAGUGAGCGAAAGCCAGGGGAGCAAACGGG